rnacentral:pre_miRNA from 1 species
AGUGGGAUAGCUGGGUCAAAUGAUAGUUCCAUUCCAAUUUUUUAAAGAGUCUCUAUUUACUUUCCAGAUUGGUUAUAGCAAUUUGCAGUCCCACCAGCAAU